AGACAUUGAACAAAAGAGAAGAACAUUCAAGAUUACAUUCAUGGAUUUAAUUUCAAGUGUACCAACACCAUACAAAAAAUCAUUGCAAGAAGUUCACUACCAAUGUCAUUCAAGUAUAUCACAUCACAUCACCAAAAACCCAAACAAAACCUAAAUCCUAAUGUCUUAAGCCUCAUCCUCAAGAUGCUUUCAUUUUCAUUUCAUCAAGUAGUAGUGUCCUUCAUGCUAUAUCUUCACUUUCUUCAAGUAAUCCUCAUGCUUCAACACCCUUCAAGCUUCACACAAAGUUGCUGCAUCAAGUUUAUGCAACCACCAUGGCCAAGCACAAAGCUAUUUUACGACUAA